CGUAAAAAUGUCUUUUUUUAUUCGUUUUGAUCGACAUCAUAUUUUGAACGAAUCGUAUAAGGACCAUGCAAAAAAUUGAUAAGUAUGAAGAUCAAGAAGCUGAAAAAUUGGACGGAACUUACAAGGAGAUUCUAACGCAUAUUAGACCUUACGUAUUGCAACUGACAUCUGCUGAGAGUGUGCAAUUAUGUAGGGACUGGCUGGAAAAAUUGCACAAUGAGACCUCGCAACGCCGUCUAAGAAAUGAGUAUCUGUUGGAAUUAUGCAGACAACUGAGAACAGGUCGGAUUGGAGGAAUUUUUAGCAAAUUGCCGCCCAGUGGGCUUCUUCUACCACUCCCUAAGCCAUAUCAUACGCAGGUCUGUAACAGUUCGUCUAUCAGUGAUCUAUCAAGCUUUGUUGUAAGACCAUUCUAUAGUACUUUAAAUAACUACAAAAUGUCUGCAAAAUGUAGACAACAUCAUAGAAGCAACCCAUUAUUGAAAUACCGUGCAAUGGGCACUAGUAGCAUGGGUCAGUGUUUGGAUUCUACUAAUGCAUCCCCAACUGUUCAUUCUUACCAUCGAAAUGCAGCGAGAAAAAGUCAAUUGAAAAUUUAUAAACACCGUAUCGAUACACUGAAUACCUUUAUCGAAGAAUUGCAGUCACAAAACGAGUAUUUGAAAAAGCAAUUGGUAGAGAAGAGUAAUCAUUAUUCAGACAAUCAUUUAUAUUCAAAUGUUAGCCAGUUAACAUCUGAUGUUGCUACUUUAAAAACUAAGCUAUUAGAUGUACAAAAGAUGAAAAAUUUGCUAGAAAAGAAUUGUAAACAAGUUAUGCAGGAAUAUCAUUCUACAGUUGUAGAACAGUUUAACGAGUUAAAGGAUCAACUAGAUGAAGCUCGAUCAAAAUAUGUAGCAUUGGAUAGCAGUAUAGCUAUGAUAGAUGAAAAAUUGGAAGAUAUCAUCCAUGGUAAGAACAAAGAAACUGAAGAAAUGAAAAAUCAUUUAAUGGAAAGAAUUAAGAUUUUAUAUAAUCAGUUCGAACAAUUUGCACAGGAGAGAAACAAAGAAUUAGAAAUGAAAGAUUCGGAAUUAUUUCAGAAUGAUGUAAAGAAAAAGAAAGAUGUAGAAAUGCUGAAUAACAAAAUUUUUGGUUUGGAAAUGAAGCUAGACUCAAGGAUAAAAGACGAGGAAACGUUGCAAACUACAUUAGCUGAGCAAUAUAAUAUUUUGAGAGAUGAAAUUAUGAAUUGGAAAAGUGAAAUAGAAUGUGAGACACAACAACAAUACGAGAAUCUGUUGUCCAAAGUUUCUGAAUUGAAGAAAGCUGUUGCAAAAUUAGAAAAAUCGAAAGAAAAAAGUGUUUAUGACCACGAGAAAAAAAUGUUGAGAGUGAUUCAGAACAAAGAUUUGGAAAUAAAAAGCUUGCAGUUACAAUUGCAAGACCAAAAGAAUGAAUUCUCUACAAUUUUAAAUACUAAAAAGCAUAGUGAAAUAGAUAAUAUUGUCACACUUUUAGAAAAGAGGUACAAAACAUUGUUAGCAGAAACUGAGGCAUCAAAAGAAUCUCAAACACAGGAAUAUCUUAAGGUACGGCUGAAUUCUGCGCGAGGCUAUUUUCCUUGACGGCAGAGCAUUAAGAACAGCAUUAACACUCCUGUAAAUCGAUGUGAAGACAAAAUAAGAAGACUAAUAAGUUUAAUUCAAACGGUGAGCGAGUGAGCUACUAGAGUGAGCCACUAUAGUGGCGCGUCAUGCCUAAGAGGUUGAACUUGUUUAUGUACUAUGUGGAUUGAUAACACGCGGUACAUUUUAUUUACGAAUUUUAAAGUUGCAAAAACACAAGCAAAAUGCCAAAAGUGCGAGUGGAGAAAAAGUCUCGUGUGCACAAGGAUGUUGCAAGACAGGGUAUUAUGUUUAAUACGGAUAUUGGACAACACAUUU